rnacentral:rRNA from 1 species
GACGAACGCUGGCGGCGCGCUUAACACAUGCAAGUCGAACGGAAAGGCCUGCUUUCCCUUGUGGAUUGCGGGUACUCGAGUGGCGAACGGGUGAGUAACACGUGAGUGAUCUGCCCCCAACUUGGGUAUAAGCCUGGGAAACUGGGUCUAAUUCCCGAUAGGACUGCAGGGUGGUGCCUGUGGUGGAAAACGAUUUUCUAGUGGUUGGGGAUGAGCUCGCGGCCUAUCAGCUUGUUGGUGGGGUAAUGGCCUACCAAGGCGGCGACGGGUAGCCGGCCUGGGAGGGUGGACGGCCACCUUGGGACUGAGAUACUGCCCAGACUCCUACGGGAGGCAGCAGUGGGGAAUAUUGCACGAUGGUCGGAAGCCUGAUGCAGCGACGCCGCGUGGGGAAUGACGGCCUUCGGGUUGUAAACUCCUUUCGACCGCGAGGAAGCCACCUGGUUGGAAGGGUGGUGACGGUAGUGGUAGAAGAAGCACCGGCUAACUACGUG